UAUACUAUCACCAUUCUCUCGUCAAUGGCCCCUUCCCUGUGCAUCUGAGCAUGCUCAGAAGCAUCGGAGCAUGCUCAGUAUGGUCAAAUGAAGCUCCUUUUUGUUUUCUGCCCACAACCCCCCAGCCUGGUGAUACGGGGGCGUGAGUCAGUUAAAGCCAGUGCGCAGGCGCGGCAGCUCCGGCGGCUCGGCCUGUCGGCGCUGGCUUGUCUCCUCCUUUUCUUCAGGGCAGCGGCGAUUCCUGGCGCUGAGGCCCGCGGCCCGAAACGGGCCUGACAGAAACUGAUUCAGUGGGGUCGUCCUCGGCCGCUGACUGACGCAGCUCCCUUCUCCUCCGAUUCGUGUGGAGUUUCUCAAGGGAAGCGCGUGAGGAGGUGGUGGCGGCGGCGGCGGCGGCUUGGGCCAGGGCCGGCCUUCGCCCUCCCGCCGGCCGCCAUUAUGCGCCACAGCCUGGCCCAGCUGCUGGCGGCCUCUUCCUCCUCCUGCCGCGGCAGCCCGCGGGAGCCCACGGCGGCCUGCUCGCUCCUGAGUGAGGGGACGAGCGGCAGGAGCAGCCCGGGAGAGGCGGGCGACGAGGCCGAGCCGCGCCUAGAGAAGGCUGUGGCGGCGGCGGACUCGCUGGAGAACGAUGACGACGACGAGCUGCUUUUCCCGGCGGGGCUCGAGCUGGGCGACUGGCUGGAAGCGGCGGUGGCUGCUGAGGCCCGGCCGGACUGGGAGAUAGAAGAAGAAGAAGGCGGGAGUCCCCGCCCCGAGGCCGGGCCAGCUCCGGGCCGAGGCCUGGCCCGCCCGGGGAGCAACCGGCUGAAAGCGGCGGCAGCGGCCCGCCUGAACCGCCAGAAGAAGAAGCAGUACGUGAUGGGCCUGGAGACCCGCUUGCAAGGCCUGGCCGCCGAGAACCGGCAGCUGCGCGACCGCAACCGAGGCCUGGGCCGCCGCGUGCGGCACCUGGAGCGGGAGACCAGCUACCUGCGGGCCGUGCUGGCCAACCAGAGCGCCCUGGGCCGGCUCCUGAGCCGCUUGGCCGGCGAUGGGGCGGGGAAAGUGGGGCUGCGGAUCAGCACCAGCCUCUUCGAGGACCACCACGCGGCGGUGGCGGCCCGGCUGGAGACGCGACUCCCCUGCGAGGGCGGCAGCGGCGGCGGCGACCACGAUUACGCUCUCCCAGUCCGAAAGGACGAGGAAGAGGAUGACGGCGACAAGAGGGCCGGUUCGUCCAGCCCCGGCGGCAUUUGCCUCCACGUGGACCGGGACCAGGUGUCCGUGGAGUUCUGCUCCGUGUGCGCCCGUCGGGCGGCCACUUCUGCUUUUGCGGCCGCCUCCAUCUCCCCUUCCUCCUUCGCCGCCAAAAUUUUCUCUUUUAGGUGCUUGCCCUGCCAGGCUCCGUUGUGUAGGGGUUAAAAGAACAGUCGUUUUCCACCUCGCAACCUGUGGAUACAGCUGUCUUGGGGCAGAAGAGACGGGACCAGCUGCUGGCCACACUUCCUGCUUUAUUUUAAAAGCUUAGUAGUAUCCGUGGGGGGAAUCAUUUUUUUCUGCACCCUGUAACUACCUGGAGAGAUGGCAUCAAAAUAAUUGUGGGGAGCCAUGUCUUGAACUGGCAUCCAUCCAAAUGGAUAUUUGUCUGAGUUACCAUCGAUCUGCUACUAUGUAACCAAAUCCCAGACAUUUCCCCUUUUGAUAUUUUUGGACUGGUUUGCAAUAAUUUUAGUUACAGGAACUUGAUUAAAAUAUUCCCAAAUGGAGCGUGUCUGCUGGCAUGAUAGGUGUUGCCCUUCUACAGUGGAGGAUACAUUUGGAAAAAGUUUCCUCAGGACUGCAUGAAUAUAUUCUGUUGACUCUUGGUUUCACUUUCUACUCCUCUCCCCUCCUCAUCCAUUUAUAUCAAUUCCUCCUCCUUGCUCAAAUCUAUUUCAGUUCCCCAAAUCUAUCCAUUCGUUGACUUGUACUUUGUACUUUUGUCUUUGCUUGAUUGUGUGUGUGUUCUGCAAGUACACCAUCUGCAGAAUAGGACGAAUCAGAUCUUCUGCUGUUAAUAUGUUCAUAGAAUAUAAUUAGAAGUUAUAAAUAAUAUUCAUGAUGAUAUCUUUGACUUAGGUUCUUUAUGGAUUGGGGUUUUUUUAAAUUAAAAAAAUCAAAUUUAAAUCAAAACCAUUUUUAAAAAAUAGAUUUUGAUCAACUCUGUUAGAAAUUGGGUGACAUUUAAAUUCUGAGUUCUCUUCUUUUCAGGUAAAUGCUGGUAUAGUCUGUACUUAACCUGUAUUUUUAAAAGGGGGGAGUCUAUGUGGGUAAAUUUCUAUGUGGAUAAACACAGUAGGUUCAUCUCUCCUGAGGAGUUAAGGGGCCAUGAUAAGCCUAAAACUCUGAUCAGGAAGUGAUCCGUCCAUGAUAAAAGUGACAUUAACCUCCACCACUAGUGAAGCUGCUACAAUAUCCUGGGACCUGGAAGGCAGCACUGAGUGAAAGCCAACCUGUUUGACAGGCAGUUGGUGAGGGUGGCGCUGGGGGAGGCACGAAAGGUACCAUGCAAAGACAUUGUUCAUACUGCUGGCACCUGGAAACGCCAUGGUGGCCAGAUGAGUGCUGUAGGCAGGACAGCUGCUGUGUGGGAUGUCAGGUGGAGCACCACUGACCCAGGCGUUUCCAGGUUCCAGUGCUAUGAACAAUAAUGUCUUUUAAAAGUACCUCUCACCACCCACCUACCCCAGCACCACCCUCGCUGGCCACCUCUGCUGCCUGACAUUUUCUAGCCAAAUCUUGGUGAUACAUGUUAAGUCUGAGUAGUCAUCCAGGAUCAAAUGCUACAUAGGCAGAGGAUUGAUGUUCAUUGACCUGGAAUUUUCAGCAGUUCUUUAAGAUUUUUAGUUCUUGCCAGUAGAGGCACUUUCCCCUGCCCAAUUCCCAUCAUGAUCUAUUUUUACCCAACAUAAGAACAGCCCUGCUGGACCAGGCCCAAGGCCCAAGGCCCAGCUAGUCCAGGUUUCACACAGUAGCCCACCAGAUGCUGCUGGAAGCCUACAGGUAGGAGUUGAAGGCAUGCCCUCUCUCCUGCUGUUACUCCCCUGCAACUGGUACUCAGAGGCAUCCUGCCUCUGAGGCUGGAGGUGGCCUAUAGCCCUCCAACUAGUAACCAUUGAUAGACCUCUCCUCCAUGAAGUUAUCCAAACCCAUCUUAAAGCCAUCCAGGUUGUUGGCUGUCACCACAUCUUGUGGCAGAGAAUUUCACAAGUUGAUUAUGCAUUGUGUGAAAAGUACCUCCAUUUGUUGGUCCUAAAUUUCGGAGCAUUUUCAUGGGAUGACCCUUGGUUCUAGUGUUAUGUGAGAGGGAGAAGAAUUUCUGUCUACUUUCUCCACUCCAUGCAUGAUUUAUAGACCUCUAUCAUGUCUCCCCGCAGUUGUCUUUUUUCUAAACUAAAUAGCCCCAGGUGUUGUAGCCUUCCCUCCUAAGAAAGGUGCUUUAGGCCCCUGAUCAUCUUUGUUGCCCUCUUCUGCACCUUUCCCAGUUCUACAAUGUCCUUUUUUAGAUGUGACCAGAAUUGUAUGCAGUACUUCAGAUGUGGCCGCACCAUAGUUUUGUAUAAGGGCAUUAUAAUAUUAGCCGUUUUAUUUUCCGUCCCCUUCCUAAUGAUCUUUAGCAUGGAAUUGGCCUUUUUCACAGCUGCCGCACACUGAGUCGGCACUUUCAACGAGCUGUCCACCACAACCCCAAGAUCCCUCUCCUGGUCUGUCACCGACAGCUCAGAUCCCAUCAGCGUAUACUUGAAGUUGGAGUUAUAAGUAUAAGCAUGCAUAUGUAUUCAGUACUUGGUUUGGGCCCCUUUUGCAGCAAUUACUGCCUCAAUGCGGCGUGGCAUGGAUGCUAUCAGCCUGUGGCACUGAUGAGGUGUUAUGGAAGACCAGGAUGCUUCAUUAGCGGCCUUCAGCUCUUCUGCAUUGUUUGGUCUCAUGUCUCUCAUCCUUCUCUUGGCAAUGCCCCAUAGAUUCUCUAUGGGGUCAGGUCAGGCGAGUUUGCUGGCCAAUCAAGCACAGUACACUGUAUACUUUUCAGAGGUCCGAUAUUGUUCUAUUCUACAAUCCUUGUCUUCUUGGUUCCAUGUAAUAUUCUAAUUUUCUUGGAUUGUGGAUUUGGGGUUUUCAUGAGCUGUACGCCAUGAUCAUCACAAUUAUAACAAAUUAAGGCUUGACUUAUCUCACUGCAUGUAAUGCGUCUGUCUCAUAUAUCAGUUUCACCUUUUAAUUUGCAUUACUGAAAUUAAUGGACUUUUGCACGAUAUUCUGAGUUUCACCUGUAUACCUACCCUCUGUUUCCUGUCCUUCAACCAGUUAGUAAUCCACAUAUGUACUUGUCCCCUUAUCCCAAGACAGCUAAGUUUCCUCAGGAGUCUUUGAUGAGGAACUUUGUCAAAAGCUUUUUGGAAGUCCAGGUAGACUAUGUCAACUGGAUCACCUUGAGCCACACACUCGUUGACACUCUCAAAGAACUCCAAAAGGUUGGUGAGGCAAGAUUUACCUUUGCGGAAGCCAUGCUGGCUGACUCCCAGCAGGGCCUGUUCUUCUAGGUGCUUUACAAUUUUAUCCUUGAGGAUGCUUUCCAUCAAUUUGCCUGGAACGGACGUUAGGCUAACUGGCCUGUAAUUUCCUGGAUCGCCCCUGGAUCCCUUUUUGAAAAUCGGUGUUACAUUUGCUACUCUCCAGUCCUCUGGUACAGAGCCCGAUUUCAGGGAUAAGUUAAAUAUUUUGGCAAGGAGGUCGGCAAUUUCAUAUUUGAGUUCUUUGAGGAAUCUUGGAUGGAUGCCAUCCGGCCCUGGUGAUUUGCGGAAGCCAUGCUGGCAUCCCUAUUUGAAAAUCGGUGUUACAUUUGCUACUUUCCAGUACUCUGGUACAGAACCUGAUUAUAGGGAUAAGUUACAUAUUUUAACAAGGUCGGCAAUUUCACAUUUGAGUUCUUUGCGGACUCUAGGAUGGAUGCCAUCCGGCCCUGGUGAUUUGCUAGUUUUCAGUUCUUCCAGACAGAGAUGAACUCAUAGUGUGUCUUUUUCUGUUCUGUCUCAUAUAAGGCAGCAGUUGAGCACACAGUCCCAACUAAGCAGAUUGAACAAUAAACACUUGCAUUGACUUUUCUGAUACCGGUGCUCUUCACUUUCUUUAAGUGCCCCCUGCCACCGCUAGAAAAUGUUCAAUGCAAGAGCCUAUUUUCCACUUUGUUGCCGUUUGUUGAAGGCUGUUCUUCUCUCAGGUUUGGGAGGAGGUUUUUUUUAAUUUUAUUUUAAAGAAACAGCCUUGUUGAGUCCCAGUACCAUCUUGGAUGAAGUGUAGUCCUUCCCACCACUUUCCCCAUAUAGCUUUCCACAGCACUUGGUACGUACCUUCCAAGAUGGCUCUGGGGCCAUAAAAGAGCCCCACCGGUGCUGGUCAGUGCAAGGUACAGUGUCAUUAGGAGCAGUUGCCUCUGCACAGUGCUGGGUGGGGGUGGGAGCUGUGUGGAGUAUUCAGCAUCAACCAGAACUGCACAGACUUAAAACAGCAUUUUGGGUUGGGAGCGACCACUGACUCACAGGGCUUGCAGUGAAGAACGUUGGUUUAUGCCUGUACAUCUCUUCUUACUGUUCUGCUUAUCUUGGCAAUGUGAAAACUUGUGUGUCAGAUUUCACUGGUUACCUUAAUUGAAAUUUUGUAUUCACGUACAGGUGGCCCUUGUUGUUUGUGGGGUUUUUGUUUCAACCGACAACUGCAGAUAAUGAAACUGAAUGAGACCUUGAGGCUGUUUUCAUGUGCAGCCUAACCCAGGCUAGGGAAGCCCAGCCUAGGUUAGGCUGCGUGUGAGGCCUGGCGGGAUUGGACCCAAUCCCGGCAAGGCAGUGCUGCCUUGCCUGGCUUUUAGUCAAGGUUAAGGGAGCGAGUGCUCCUUUAACUUGGGCUUCCUUCUUCCAGCCCCAUUGCACACAGAUGCCUAGAGUGUCCAUCUCCUGGGAGAAUUACCCAAUGCAUUCACAUGUCACACGGUGCAUUGUGGGAUAUCUGGAGGCCGGGAUGCAUCUUCCCAGUUUUCAGAGCUGCGUGCUGCGCCAUCCAACACUGCUUGUCUGGGAACGCGGUCUGCGGUCCCAGAAACAUGCAAUUGCUCGUUGGGGGCUGGCGGGAAGGUGAGUUUAACCAGCUUCCUUUUCCCAUCUGCUUGCAUGAAUGACCUUCUUGCCUAUGGGAAUCGGGGUGUUGGGUACUGGUGCCCUGGAAAAUGACCAAAACAUUACCAAGAAAAAGAAAGCAGAAACUAAGAUGGAGCACCGCACUGUGUCUUGGCCACUUCAACAAUCCUAGUGCUUCAGGAGUGGUCCUCAGCUGCUCCAGUAAUGCAUAACAGUGAAGUUUCCCCAUCCCACAGUCGAAGGCCAACACUUAGAACAACCCCCUGGCCUGGCUGGUGGGUAGGCUGGCCAAAGAGGCAGUGCAGAAUUAAUCCACUUCAAGUGAACACACAGAGGGGAGUUUCUGCAUCCUCCACAGUUGAAGCCCAACACUUCUCAGCACAAACCUUUGGCUGGACUAGUUGGUAGGUUGGCCAGAGAGGCAGCACAGAAAUCAAUCCACUUCAAGUAAACACAGUCAUGGGUGUUUCUUCGCUCCACUGCUGGAGUUAGCAGUACUGCAUCUCUCCAUUCAGUCUCUGGCCUUCAUCAUCAAAAAUCAAGUUUGAAAAGCAGUGGAGUUCCUUCAUUUCACUGCUGGAGUUUGCAGCACUCGUCUUCUGCUUGGGGGCACAUAUCAGGUAAAAGCAGACCUGCUCAGGCUCAUACCCUUUGGACUCAGCCAGCCACUGGAACUCCGCUAGAAAUCUUUGUGCCACCUCGUGGUCUGCCAAUGCUGCUUCCUAACAUCAGCCAGCUUGACAUUAUGAAGGCUGUAGUGGUACUUGAAUCUUUCAAACCAGCCCUUGUUCACCUGGACGCUCAGCACCUUCAGAUGUUGCUGCUGCUUGACCGCCUUACACUGCAAACUGGCUGUAGAACCGCAGUGCUUUCUCUUGAAUGACUAGUCCACUCGGUGGCACAUUCCUUUGGGCUUGGUCCUCUAUCCACACACUGAGGGCCUUACCCCAUCUGUUUCAUGUGGGGAUCACGUGGAUGGAACACCACCUUCAGACUCUUGAGACAUGCUGGACAGCACACACUCGCAGAUAUUGGUUUCACUUUUCCUGAUGGAGUGGACAGUGGGCUCCGAUGUAAUAAUGGCAUGCUGGGGAUGCUACAUGGUCCCCACAAGCCAACAUGUCCAACAGCUGCACCUCCUAACUCAAGGGCAACACUUUGCAAGACCUUUUGCCACUCCCUUCAGCAAAGCUCUCUGCUACACACUCGCUUUUUUUGACUGGAGGGAGGAAAUAUUUGUACAAUGUUUGUACAAAUUUGUACAGUAAUUGUCCAGGGCAACACCCUCCCACCCGAUAAAGAACAGAACAGUGCAGUAAACAAUAAUUCUGUUUUCAAUGGAUAUGUACUAAAAAUCAAUGUUUAAUGGGUACAGUAUAUAGAAUCGAUACUUAAAAUCAGUUUUAAUGGGUACUAUAUAGUGUACAAUACUUAAAUGAAUUUCAGUGGGUAACUUAAUAUAAUUGCAAUUUAUAUUUACUACAUAUGGCACAGUACUAUAUUUAAAGGUAAAAAUAAAGUGUGCCGUAAAGUCGGUAUCGACUCCUUGCGACCACAAAGCCCUGUGGUUGUCUUUGGUAGAAUAGUUUACCAUUGCCAUCUCCCAUGCAGUAUAACGUCUUUCAGUAUCUUCCUAUAUUGCUGCUGCCCAAUAUAGGUGCUUCCCCAUAGUCUGGGAAACAUACCAGUGGGGAUUUGAACAGGCAACUUCUGGCUUGCUAAUCAAGUCAUUUCCCUACUGUGCCAUUAGGUGGCAUAGUACUAUAUAUAUCAGGUUUAAAAUUUUGGCUUUGAAUAUUUUGAUUAAAAAUAUGAUCUUAUUAAAAUUAAACUUAUUAGUGAUAAUUAGUAUCUUACCAGGGAUGCACAAUGCUGCAAGAGGCUCCUCAAAGAAGCUGCAAAGGAAUGGCUGAAGAAAGGCUCCUACAGGCUUGCAAAGGUUUCACAGAUGUGUCCAAAAAGAUUCAAGCAAUGGCUGCUAAAGGCACCCAAUGGCUCCCUAAGGACACCAAAGGCUACCCAAGGCUGUCAAAUGCUCUUUAAAGUGUAUUUUUUUUGACCAUACAAAACUCAGUCUAAAUUACUCCUCCAUCCUCAAAACUCCUCUCACUACCCAUGAGCAUGUGCAGGAAGAGCAUGACCACAUAAGGUUGGAACCAUGUGCCCCAAACUGCAGAUAAGCGAAACCCUUUACCAUGGAUAACUAGGUCUGGUCUAUAUUUCCCAACCAUGGGUAAUGGAACCAUGGAUAAUGAGGGCCACAUGUAUGAAGAUUUGUAUGACAAAUAUUUUCAAGCUGCGCUUUUUUAAAAAAACCAACCUGGGUGUUUCUUAGUACAGUAAUGGCAAAUAAGCACUGUGAAAGAAGUUUGUUCAAGUCAUCUUCCCCUGCAGUGUGGCAGGGCUGGUGUGUUCUAAGUACAGAGAUAGUGUCUUGUUUGUAUUGGCCAUAUCCUGGUUAUGUGGAAAAGCCAUUUUUAAAUGUCCCCUGAGACAGGAGUGAAAACUGGAGAAAUCUAGCAUUUUACUGUGCUACUGAUUCGACACACUGAUGCACCCUCCACCUCCAAAGGAGGCAGCAAAUAGAAGAGUUCCUGCUCUAAUUCAAGUCUUAUGUUGUGUGAAAUAUUGAGGAUAUCUCAUGAUCAUUGGAAAGCGGGCCAAGGGAGAACCAGUGGGCUCACAGGUGAGCCUGGUGGUUCCCUGGUGGCUAGUCCGCCAAAGUAGCCCUCCCCUUAGCCCAGUUUUGAAGCAAGUGCUCUGCUAACCCGGGCUUCCUGAUCGUGUAUUGCCGCAGCAACACAUGAGGAGACCCUCGGCUCCUCCCGGGCUUGUGGGUCUCUUCAGCAUGCCCCACACACUUGUGUGGGGCAUCCUGAAACUUCCAGGGGCCAUGUGUCCCCCGAUCCCUGCAGCCCCUGCUGGCUCUGUGAUACAGCCGGCAGUUGUGUGGGCUGCCGAUCUGGCCACCGAGGGCGACAGUAGUGAUCAUCUGUGGGGAGAGCAGGCUAAGCCCACACUCCUCGCAGAACCCUCUCCAGCGGGUCUCACUGAUUGUGAAACUCACCUCAUUAACUCGUAAUUACAUCUAUGGCACCCAUAGGGAAUUGUGACCGUUGGCAGCUUUCAGUGUUUAAUGGCAUUUCAACCUGUACAGCACUAGCCUUUUCCUGUAUGGUUCUAGGGUAGAUUUUCAGUUCGCACGAGGCAAUAUUUUGGGCAGAAACCAGACGAAAGUUUGGGUGGUAUAUAAGAUGGAUAGAUUGAUAGAUAAAUAGCUCGCUCGCUCUCUGGUAGAUGAAUUGAUGUGGAAAUUGCUCCUUAGAGAAAAAGUUUCAAAAACUAAUUCAAAGACUAGGUUUAAGGGAGCCCUGACUGAACUUGUUAAACCAUGAAGCUUGUUGCCAGAUUCUCAAAUCCUGUUUAACUUGUUUCAGAGUUGGGCAAUAUUUUAUUUAUCAAAUUUGUACACCGUCCCAAACUUUUGUCUCUGGGCAGUUAACAAUAGCAUAAAACAAGUUAAAAACAUAUACGAAAACUAAAAACAAUUUAAAAAUAAACCAGAAAUUAAAAUUUAGGAAGCUGAGAAAGCUUGGGCGAAAAGAUGGGUUUUCAGUUUUUUGAAAAUUGCCAGAGAUGGGGAGGAUCAUAUCUCAGCAGGGAGCACAUUUAUCUGGUUGUAGAAAAAGUCCUGCUUUUGAGGCAUACUUUCUGGGUGUAUUUAACAGCCCAGGUACCAUAGGUAGUGUUUCUGCUAUAGCUGGGAUAGGCAUGGCAGGAACACUGUUUCCCUACAGUCUCAACAACAGAGAAGAUUUGCUUGGCAAUGCAACUGGUCAGUGUCUGAGAAGUUAGUAUGUUGAGGUCUCCUGCGUACAGAAACUAAGUUGAAGAUAUCUAGAUGACGGUUUUCUAGUUCUGUGUGGGAACUCCAGCCACAUGUGCAGCUGUAAUUGGUAUAUCAUGCCAAGAUAUUGUAUAUUAGAGCUUUGUAUAUAGCAGCAACAUACAAUCUUUGUACAGUGUACAGUCUAACACAUUCUAUUGAGUGCACAGCAGUACACUUCCUGUCUAUAGCCUGCAUUUCAGAGGGCUUGUACCUAGGGUUGCUUCAUGAAUGCACGUGCAGUCAUUCAUACACCUACAUGUGUACAACUAUGUCUGAAUAGGAUUACUACUAUAUGCAGGUCAUUUAGAUUUGUAAGAGAAAAACCACCAAGUAAUAGCUGCACGACUAUGCUUUAUUCCUUGAGCAGUUAAGAAUCCCUCCUACUUUCAGGCAACUGCAGCAUUUUAAUAUAUAUAUCAUGAUGUUUUGAGCUCAUAUACAUGCCAAAUGCAACUUGCAGGAUUAUGGCAAAUUUCAUCUUCUUGAAGACUGGUUUUGAAACUGUGGUCCAGUACCGGAGCAGGUUUUCAUUUUCUGGCAUAGGAGAUGUGAAAUACCUAGGAAGCAAAAUAUUUUAAAAAUUCAUUAUUCAAUCAAAAGCUGAGGCAAAUACUGUCAUUGCUAGAUUGUAGCAGUUGUGAUGCUACAUUGGGGUGGAGGGACUGCUGCAGAAUUGAAGAAUUGGCUUAACACCUGUUUGAGGACUUAAUUCAAUAGGCAAUAAUGUGCUAGAGCCUACUAAAGUACUCUAACACUGCAUGCUUAUUCAAAAUAGGGAGUCAAUGUGGAGAAGUCUUGACAAAGAUUAAUAUUGCACCCCCAAAUGAUUAGUUAGGAUUGGAACCUCAAAUGGCUGUUGACCUAGUCCUUUAAUUCUGCAGCAAUCUCUCCAUCCCAGGACUGUCACCACAUCUUGUGGCAGAGAAUUCCACAAGUUGAUUAUGCGUUGUGUGAAAGAGUACUCAGCCACAACAUAUUGAAAGGAGACUGAUGAGUGUGUUACUAGAAAAAAAUACAGAAACAAAAUAUAUAUUAUCUUACACAGAGAUUUUCAAGGGGGCAGUUCUAUAAACUAGUGACUUCACAUUAACCAAAAGCUAAUAACAAGAUCUUAAAUAUACCUGACAUGAUCCUAAGAAAAGCAACUUCCAGUAGUUUCUCCCAUCUGUAUCUUGAAAAGUUAAAAUCAUUCAUUUACAAGUUUAGUCCAUUAUCUACACCUAUACAUGUAUAGUUUUAUGUGUUUGUAUAUUAUAUUUUUAAUAUCAGAUUUGUUUUUAUAUUUUUAGCUAAAUACUUUUAACUCAUUCUUAUUAUAUGUGUUAACUUUUGUAAACCGCCUUGGGAUUGUUUCUAAUGAAAGGCGGUAUAUAAAUCUAACAAUCAAUCAA